UGCUGCUGCCGCACAACCUGGCU
rnacentral:piRNA from 1 species